GCCCAGACUCCUACGGGAGGCAGCAGUGGGGAAUAUUGCACAAUGGGGGAAACCCUGAUGCAGCGACGCCGCGUGAGUGAAGAAGUAUUUCGGUACGUAAAGCUCUAUCAGCAGGGAAGAAAAAAAGUCCUUUGGACUUUGGACGGUACCUGACCAAGAAGCCCCGGCUAACUACGUGCCAGCAGCCGCGGUAAUACGUAGGGGGCAAGCGUUAUCCGGAUUUACUGGGUGUAAAGGGAGCGUAGACGGCAUGGCAAGUCUGAAGUGAAAGCCCGGGGCUCAACCGCGGGACUGCUUUGGAAACUGUUAAGCUGGAGUGCAGGAGAGGUAAGUGGAAUUCCUAGUGUAGCGGUGAAAUGCGUAGAUAUUAGGAGGAACACCAGUGGCGAAGGCGGCUUACUGGACUGUAACUGACGUUGAGGCUCGAAAGCGUGGGGAGCAAACAGGAUUAGAUACCCCGGUAG
rnacentral:rRNA from 1 species